rnacentral:rRNA from 1 species
GACAGAGGGUGCAAACGUUGCUCGGAAUCACUGGGCGUAAAGCGCGUGUAGGCGGACAAUCAAGUCAGGUGUGAAAUCCCCGGGCUCAACCUGGGAACUGCAUCUGAGACUGGUUGUCUUGAGUAUCGGAGAGGGAAGCGGAAUUCCUGGUGUAGAGGUGAAAUUCGUAGAUAUCAGGAGGAACACCGGUGGCGAAGGCGGCUUCCUGGACGAUUACUGACGCUGAGACGCGAAAGUGUGGGUAGCAAACAGG